rnacentral:rRNA from 1 species
CGUUGCCUACGGGGGGCAGCAGUAGGGAAUCUUCCACAAUGGGCGAAAGCCUGAUGGAGCAACGCCGCGUGGGUGAAGAAGGUCUUCGGAUCGUAAAACCCUGUUGUUAGAGAAGAAAGUGCGUGAGAGUAACUGUUCACGUUUCGACGGUAUCUAACCAGAAAGCCACGGCUAACUACGUGCCAGCAGCCGCGGUAAUACGUAGGUGGCAAGCGUUAUCCGGAUUUAUUGGUCGUACAGGGAACGCAUGCGGUCUUUUAAGUCUGAUGUGAAAUCCUUCGGCUUAACCGGAGUAGUGCAUUGGG